rnacentral:rRNA from 1 species
GAUGAACGCUGGCGGCGUGCCUAACACAUGCAAGUCGAGCGAGGGUUUGCUCAGUAUUGAGUAUUCUAAAACUAGAAUGUUCAAUUCUGAGCAAAACCAAGCGGCGGACGGGUGAGUAACGCGUGGGUAACCUGCCCUAUACACAUGGAUAACAUACUGAAAAGUUUACUAAUACAUGAUAAUAUAUAUUUGCGGCAUCGCAGAUAUAUCAAAGUGUUAGCGGUAUAGGAUGGACCCGCGUCUGAUUAGCUAGUUGGUGAGAUAACUGCCCACCAAGGCGACGAUCAGUAGCCGACCUGAGAGGGUGAUCGGCCACAUUGGAACUGAGACACGGUCCAAACUCCUACGGGAGGCAGCAGUGGGGAAUAUUGCACAAUGGGCGAAAGCCUGAUGCAGCAACGCCGCGUGAACGAUGAAGGUCUUCGGAUCGUAAAGUUCUGUUGCAGGGGAAGAUGAUGACGGU